GACGAACGCUGGCGGCGUGCUUAACACAUGCAAGUCGAACGGAAAGGCCCUGCUUUUGUGGGCUGCUCGAGUGGCGAACGGGUGAGUAACACGUGAGUAACCUGCCCUUGACUUUGGGAUAACUUCAGGAAACUGGGGCUAAUACCGGAUAGGAGCUCCUGCUGCAUGGUGGGGGUUGGAAAGUUUCGGCGGUUGGGGAUGUACUCGCGGCUUAUCAGCUUGUUGGUGGGGUAGUGGCUUACCAAGGCGUUGACGGGUAGCCGGCCUGAGAGGGUGACCGGCCACAUUGGGACUGAGAUACGGCCCAGAAUCCUACGGGAGGCAGCAGUGGGGAAUAUUGUACAAUGGGCGGAAGCCUGAUGCAGCAACGCCGCGUGCGGGAUGCCGGCCUUCGGGUUGUAAACCGCUUUCGCCUGUGACGAAGCGUGAGUGACGGUAACGGGUAAAGAAGCACCGGCUAACUACGUG
rnacentral:rRNA from 1 species